CGAGUCUUAACCGGGCGUUAAGUUGCAGGGUAUAGACCCGAAACCCGGUGAUCUAGCCAUGGGCAGGUUGAAGGUUGGGUAACACUAACUGGAGGACCGAACCGACUAAUGUUGAAAAAUUAGCGGAUGACCUGUGGCUGGGGGUGAAAGGCCAAUCAAACCGGGAGAUAGCUGGUUCUCCCCGAAAGCUAUUUAGGUAGCGCCUCGUGAAUUCAUCUCCGGGGGUAGAGCACUGUUUCGGCUAGGGGGCCAUCCCGGCUUACCAACCCGAUGCAAACUGCGAAUACCGGAGAAUGUUAUCACGGGAGACACACGGCGGGUGCUAACGUCCGUCGUGAAGAGGGAAACAACCCAGACCGCCAGCUAAGGUCCCAAAGUCAUGGUUAAGUGGGAAACGAUGUGGGAAGGCCCAGACAGCCAGGAUGUUGGCUUAGAAGCAGCCAUCAUUUAAAGAAAGCGUAAUAGCUCACUGGUCGAGUCGGCCUGCGCG
rnacentral:rRNA from 1 species